GGGCAAUGGGCGGCAGCGUACACAUGCAGUCGAACAAGUGAUACACGCGGAAGCAGCUUGCUGCUUCGCUGACGAGUGGCGGACGGGUGAGUAAUGUCUGGGAAACUGCCUGAUGGAGGGGGAUAACUACUGGAAACGGUAGCUAAUACCGCAUAACGUCGCAAGACCAAAGAGGGGGACCUUCGGGCCUCUUGCCAUCGGAUGUGCCCAGAUGGGAUUAGCUUGUUGGUGGGGUAACGGCUCACCAAGGCGACGAUCCCUAGCUGGUCUGAGAGGAUGACCAGCCACACUGGAACUGAGACACGGUCCAGACUCCUACGGGAGGCAGCAGUGGGGAAUAUUGCACAAUGGGCGCAAGCCUGAUGCAGCCAUGCCGCGUGUAUGAAGAAGGCCUUCGGGUUGUAAAGUACUUUCAGCGGGGAGGAAGGGAGUAAAGUUAAUACCUUUGCUCAUUGACGUUACCCGCAGAAGAAGCACCGGCUAACUCCGUGCCAGCAGCCGCGGUAAUACGGAGGGUGCAAGCGUUAAUCGGAAUUACUGGGCGUAAAGCGCACGCAGGCGGUUUGUUAAGUCAGAUGUGAAAUCCCCGGGCUCAACCUGGGAACUGCAUCUGAUACUGGCAAGCUUGAGUCUCGUAGAGGGGGGUAGAAUUCCAGGUGUAGCGGUGAAAUGCGUAGAGAUCUGGAGGAAUACCGGUGGCGAAGGCGGCCCCCUGGACGAAGACUGACGCUCAGGUGCGAAAGCGUGGGGAGCAAACAGGAUUAGAUACCCUGGUAGUCCACGCCGUAAACGAUGUCGACUUGGAGGUUGUGCCCUUGAGGCGUGGCUUCCGGAGCUAACGCGUUAAGUCGACCGCCUGGGGAGUACGGCCGCAAGGUUAAAACUCAAAUGAAUUGACGGGGGCCCGCACAAGCGGUGGAGCAUGUGGUUUAAUUCGAUGCAACGCGAAGAACCUUACCUGGUCUUGACAUCCACGGAAGUUUUCAGAGAUGAGAAUGUGCCUUCGGGAACCGUGAGACAGGUGCUGCAUGGCUGUCGUCAGCUCGUGUUGUGAAAUGUUUGGGUUAAGUCCCGCAACGAGCGCAACCCUUAUCCUUUGUUGCCACCGGUCCGGCCGGGAACUCAAAGGAGACUGCCCGUGAUAACUGGAGAAAAGGUGGGGGAUAAACUCCAAUUCUUCAUGGGCCCUUAUAACAAGGCGUACACACUUGCUUCAAUGGGCGCAACCAAAGAGAAGCAACCUCCCCCAAACAAACCGAACUCCUAAAAAUGCGUUCGUAAUCCCCGGAUGGAGAUGUGGCACUCCGACUCCCUGAAAUCCGAAUACCUUUUUAUUCUUGGAUCAAAUAGCCCCGGUGAAUAAUUUCUCGGGGCCUGGUACACCGCCCGUCCACCCCAGGGAAUGGGUUGCAAAAAAAAAAGGACUUAACCUCCGGAGGGCUUACCUUUGG
rnacentral:rRNA from 1 species